rnacentral:rRNA from 1 species
AGCAGCCGCGGUAAUUCCAGCUCCAAUAGCGUAUAUUAAAGUUGUUGCAGUUAAAAAGCUCGUAGUUGAAUUUCGGGGUCAGCAGGUUGGUCGUGCCACUGGUAUGUACUGGCUUUGCUGAUUCCUCCUUCUUGUAGAACCGUAAUGCCAUUAAUUUGGUGUUGCGGGGAAACAGGACUGUUACUUUGAAAAAAUUAGAGUGUUUAAAGCAGGCUAACGCUUGAAUACAUUAGCAUGGAAUAAUGAAAUAGGACGAGCGAUCCUAUUUUGUUGGUUUCUAGGAUUGACGUAAUGAUUAAUAGGGAUAGUUGGGGGCAUUAGUAUUCAAUUGUCAGAGGUGAAAUUCUUGGAUUUAUUGAAGACUAACUACUGCGAAAGCAUUUGCCAAGGAUGUUUUCAUUAAUCAAGAACGAAAGUUAGGGGAUCGAAGACGAUCAGAUACCGUCGUAGUCUUAACCAUAAACUAUGCCGACUAGGGAUCGGAUGAUGUUAAUUUAUAAUGACUCAUUCGGCGCCUUAC